rnacentral:tRNA from 1 species
GAGGGUACAGCUUAGUGGUAAGGUGCAUGCUUAGUACGCACAAGGUCCUGGGUUCAGUCCACAGUACCUUCA